CGCGAAUAGCUCAUUACAACAGCUAUAAUUCACUUGAUCUUGACACAAUCCUACUUGGAUAACUGUGGUAAUUCUAGAGCUAAUACAUGCAUUAAAGCUCUGACCUCACGGAAAGAGUGCAUUUAUUAGAACAAAACCAAGCGGCUUCGGCUGUUUUCGGUUGAUUCAUAGUAACUGAGCUGAUCGCAUGGUCUUGCACCGGCGACGUGUCUUUCGAGUAUCUGCCGUAUCAACUUUCGAUGGUAGCGUAUCUGACUACCAUGGUGAUCACGCGUAACGGAGAAUAAGGGUUCGACUCCGGAGAGUUCGCCUGAGAAAUCGCGAACACAUCUAAGGAAGGCAGCAGGCGCGAAAAUUACCCACUCUCAGCACGAGGAGGUAGUGACGAAAAAUAACGAGACCGUUCUCUUAUGAGGCCGGUCAUCGGAAUGGGUACAAUUUAAACCCUUUAACGAGUAUCUAUGAGAGGGCAAGUCUGGUGCCAGCAGCCGCGGUAAUUCCAGCU
rnacentral:rRNA from 1 species